rnacentral:tRNA from 1 species
GCGGGCGUAGUUCAGCGGUAGAACGUCAGCUUCCCAAGCUGAAUGUCGUGGGUUCGAUUCCCAUCGCCCGCUCCA